rnacentral:rRNA from 1 species
AUUAGGAAUCUUGCACAAUGGGGGAAACCCUGAUGCAGCGACGCCGCGUGCGGGACGAAGGCCUUCGGGUCGUAAACCGCUUUUGACGGGGAAGAAGAAUGUGACGGUACCUGUCGAAUAAGCCCCGGCUAACUACGUGCCAGCAGCCGCGGUAAUACGUAGGGGGCGAGCGUUGUCCGAAGUUACUGGGCGUAAAGCGCGCGUAGGCGGCCAUCUAAGUUCGGGGUGAAAGGUUCAACGCUCAACGUGAACAGUGCCCUGAAUACUGGCUGGCUUGAGUUCGGGAGGGGGCAGUGGAAUUCCGGGUGUAGCGGUGAAAUGCGUAGAUAUCCGGAGGAACACCGAUGGCGAAGGCAGCUGCCUGGCCCAGAACUGACGCUGAGGUGCGAAAGCGUGGGGAGCGAACGG